UCCCUGGUGGUCCAAUGGCUAAGACUCCACACUCCCAAUGCAGGGGGCCUGGGUUUGAUCCCUGGUCAGGGAA
rnacentral:tRNA from 1 species